rnacentral:rRNA from 1 species
AGAGUUUGAUCCUGGCUCAGAUUGAACGCUGGCGGAAUGCUUUACACAUGCAAGUCGAACGGCAGCGCGGGGCAACCUGGCGGCGAGUGGCGAACGGGUGAGUAAUACAUCGGAACGUGCCCUGUGAUGGGGGAUAACUACGCGAAAGCGUAGCUAAUACCGCAUACGACCUACGGGUGAAAGUGGGGGAUCGCAAGACCUCACGUCAUAGGAGCGGCCGAUGGCGGAUUAGCUAGUUGGUAAGGUAAAGGCUUACCAAGGCAACGAUCCGUAGCUGGUCUGAGAGGACGACCAGCCACACUGGGACUGAGACACGGCCCAGACUCCUACGGGAGGCAGCAGUGGGGAAUCUUGGACAAUGGGGGCAACCCUGAUCCAGCAAUGCCGCGUGUGGGAUGAAGGCCUUCGGGUUGUAAACCACUUUUGGCGGGGGCGAAAUAUCGAGUGCUAAUACCAUUCGGUGAUGACGGUACCCGCAGAAUAAGCACCGGCUAACUACGUGCCAGCAGCCGCGGUAAUACGUAGGGUGCAAGCGUUAAUCGGAAUUACUGGGCGUAAAGCGUGCGCAGGCGGUUAGGUAAGACAGAUGUGAAAUUCCCGGGCUCAACCUGGGAACUGCAUUUGUGACUGCCUGACUAGAGUGCGGCAGAGGGGAGUGGAAUUCCGCGUGUAGCAGUGAAAUGCGUAGAU